GGCUCAGAUUGAACGCUGGCGGCAUGCCUUACACAUGCAAGUCGAACGGUAACGGGCCUUCGGGUGCCGACGAGUGGCGAACGGGUGAGUAAUGCAUCGGAACGUACCUUCAGUGGGGGAUAACGUAGCGAAAGUUACGCUAAUACCGCAUAUUCUGUGAGCAGGAAAGCAGGGGAUCGCAAGACCUUGCGCUGAUUGAGCGGCCGAUGUCAGAUUAGCUAGUUGGUGAGGUAAAGGCUCACCAAGGCGACGAUCUGUAGCGGGUCUGAGAGGAUGAUCCGCCACACUGGAACCGAGACAUGGUCCAGACUCCUACGGGAGGCAGCAGUGGGGAAUUUUGGACAAUGGGGGCAACCCUGAUCCAGCCAUGCCGCGUGAGUGAAGAAGGCCUUCGGGUUGUAAAGCUCUUUCGGCCGGGAAGAAAUCGCAUGGGCUAAUACCCUGUGCGGAUGACGGUACCGGCAUAAGAAGCACCGGCUAACUACGUG
rnacentral:rRNA from 1 species